GCCGUUGUAGCUCAGCUGGUAGAGCACCACCAUGGUAAGGUGGGGGUCAUCGGUUCAAUCCCGAUCAACGGCU
rnacentral:tRNA from 1 species